UCCCUGGUGGCUUAAAGGUUAAAGCAUCUGCCUGGAGUGUAAGAGACCCGGGUUCAAUCCCUGGAUCGGGAA
rnacentral:tRNA from 1 species